rnacentral:lncRNA from 1 species
GCUGAGUUAGUUAGUUGUGUUAACUGGAUUGACAUCUCUGACCACUGGGGGGCGUGUUUGUGUUUACCGCAAGCACAGGAGCUUUAGAUCCCAGGUUUUCUUGCCACCGGGCAAAAAGCCAUUGGCCCGAAUUUGCAAAAUAAAAGACAGCAGACAACGUGCUGGCCUUUUUGCUGUUGGACAAUACUGAUUGAUGAUCUUGUCAGAAAAACCAGCAUCUCAACAAUUUUCUUUCCUGGAAGUGGGAGAAAACAUCUGGUUGAAGCAUUGCUAUCCCAAGGUGCUGGCUGAUGGCAAAGCCAGCGAGCAAGAGAGAGAGAGAGAGAGAGAGAGAGAGAGAGAGAGUGCAUCCCGUGCAAGUGCUUCCUCUUCGGAGACAAGUGUCUUUGAUGAAGACAGGGAAGAGAGUUUGACCCAUUGCUUCAGACGCACACAGACCUCCGUUGAGAAACCCUGUGUGCUCCACCUGGGAUUAGAGGCAGGAACUGCUCUGUCUCCUAGUAGCGUCCCCCCAGUUCCCUAA